UUGCAAUGAUGAAUCUGAUUCCAAAGCCAUUCGUAGUUUCCACCAGAAGUCUACUGAUGAUGGCCAAGAACCUUCCUUGGAUGUCUGAGCGA
rfam:Picoides pubescens contig63218, whole genome shotgun sequence.